CACACACUCAUGUUUAGGUAGGUCUUGGGAACAGUAUACUAGAACCUCAGAAAAUUUAUGGUAAAAGUAAUGUGAUUUAGUGGAAAGAGAAUAUAUCUUAGAAUUAGACAUACCGGCCUGUGACUCCUAGCUCCAUCAUACUCUCUGAAACCUUGGAGAAAACAACUCGUAUGGACCUCAGCUUUUUUAUUUUGUUUUUAAAAAAUCAGAAAAUGUUCGGUGCUGAGAAAAUGUUUUCCUCUCUCCCAUCUGUACCACCAUCAGAGGACAUUUAGAUAGAUAGCUAGAUGGAAUUUUAUUAACUUCAUAUUUAUUGUGUGCCAGGCACUGUGGUACAUAUUAUCUCAUUUAGUCUUGACACACCCGUGAAGUAGUGGAGCUUAAACAGCCCUUAUAUAAGUCUUUAGGCUUUGCUUGCCUAAAGGAUCAUGCUAGAAAGUGACAGAACCGAGACUAGAGUGCUCCUAAACACUAUGAUUUCAGCUUGUUCACAAAAAGUCAAGACUUAAAGAUAUCCUAUCAAUGAAAUGCAGUGAGAGAUGUAACGACAAACCAUUAGUUUCUCAGCAGAUUUACCUUUUUUAACCAAGUUUAAUUUUGAUACAUGUAUUCAUUUGUUAGGGCUGCCAUACAAAAUAGCACUGACUGUGUCGCUUAAACAACAGAAGGUUAUUUUCUCACGAUUCUGGAGGCUACAAAGUCUAAGAUGAAGGUGUUGGCAAGUCUGAUUUCUUUUCAUGCCUGUCUCCCUGGGUUGCAGGUGGCUGGCUGCCUUCUGUGUGUCCUCACACGAUCAUCCCUCCAUUUGUCUGUGUCCUAACCUUCUCUUCUAGUCAUUUUGGAUUAAUGACUCCAUUUUGACUUAAUUAUCCCCUUUAAAGGCCCUGUCUCUAGAUGUAGUCACAUUCGAGGUCUUUGGGGUUGGAGCGUCAGCAUAUGAAUUUGAAGGAACACAGUUCAGCCCCUGACAAGGCACAUGUCGCAUAAACCAUGUGAUACUAAAUGAAAAAGAAAAUAAGCCUGCCCCCCUGAAUGUUUGCUAUGUGUCAAACAUUGUUCAAAUAUGUGUUUACACAUAUUUAUUUAAUCCAUACGAGCUAAGUACUAUUCUUAGCCCCAUUUGGUACUGAGAGGUUAAGUAGUUUAUCAAGUUACAUGCGUGUGUUUGUGCUAAGUUGCUUCAGUUGUGUCUGACUCUUUGAGACCCUGUGGACUGUAGCCCACCGGGCUCCUCUGUCCACGGGAUUCUCCAGGCAAGAAUACUGGAGUGGGUAGCCAUUCCCUUCUCCAGGGGAUCUACCUGACCCAGGGAUUGAACCUGUGUCUCCUGUGGCUCCUGCCUUGCAGGUGGGUUCCUUACUGCUGAGCCAUCUGGGAAGCCCAUUAGGUCACAUAACUAGUAGGUAAUAGGAGAGCAUUUGAGUCCACAGAGCCUGACGCUAGAGUCUGUACUCACACUGCCCCUCUCAACUAGACGCAUCCUGUUUGGGCCAAAGAAACAGAAAACACAGUAGUAUUUAUUUGAGGUAAAAUGAUGAUUAAACUUCAAAAGUCUGUGUAUGUUUAAUUAGCAAUUACUAGGCUGUCCUACAUGAAAGAUAGUGAAGCGGCUUUCAUUUAUUCCAUGGUUAUGGCUAAAGUAAUAAAUCAGUCACUUAGAAAAUGGCAAAGAAAAAUUCUAAGUUAAUUUCUUGCAUACUACUCUAUGUAAUGAAGGAUUAAUACAAAGUAUUAUAUUUCUCUUCUAAAUCUUCAAAGGCAAAUAGUACCCAUAAUGAAGCAUUAAUAUUUGAAGACCUAGGACACAUAUGGUUCACUUCUGAUUUUUCUCCCGUGUGGGCAUCAUUCCUGCUUCAGUCCAUUAACUGAAGCAAGAGAAGCUGAGUUCCAUGCCUGGAAAUGUUGGUCUUAGGGGUAGCAAUGUGCUCCUUGCAGCUACUGAAGUCUGUAAGUCUACAGAAGCACGAACUUGCAGCCAAACAUGACUAGAAAAAGAAAUUGUGAACUGUCCCACCCCCUCCCAGAAUCCCCCAGACAGUUAGGAAGGAAUGUAGGGCUCCCACUGCACAAAGGAACGCGAUUUGAGCCGAUUUUGUUGAGUCUCAAAGGACAGAGUUCUUCAGCUCCCGUCUGGUUUAAAUCCAAAGUGAACAAAAGAAUAGACUCUGAGUUAGGAGUCAGAUCACUGCCGUGGUACCCUCUUUGGCAGUCAUUUUAGUUUGUCAACAGAGCCUCGGCCUUCAAGAUGCUUACAAUUCGGUGAUGAGGAUGGGGGUCUUUACGAAGUUGUGAUAAUGAGUGUUUACAGAACACCACCGUCAAGUUCUAAGUUGAACAUAAUCCAUAUGAAAACGAAGGCUGGAGAUACUUGUCACAGCAGCUCAGGAUUUUAGAGGCCACUGCUGACUGGAGUUGUCAAGGCAAACUCAAUGGAGAAAAGUUGAGUGUUGAGAUGGGCCUCGAAAGUAGGAUUUGCUAGGUGGGGGGAAGUGAAGGUGUGUUAGAGGAUUCAGUAGCAGCUGGGGCACAAAAGCAGGAGUGAGGGAGACAGGCAGGACGACAAAGAAACUUCGUCCCUGGAACAGACAGAUUUGGGGGAGUUAUGGGAAAUAUUUUAGGAUUAAGCAGUCUGGGGUCAGAUGAUGAAAUUGACUCAUGCUGGAGGUCAACAUUGUUAUUCUGUUAGUUGAAUUGCCAGCUGAAAUUAUCUCAGUUCUUUGAACAUGUUGGUUAGAACACGUCUCAACAGAACAAAGUGCUUUGCCCCUACUAUAUAAAAAAGAUAACGAAUAAGAACCUACUGUAUAGUACAAGGAACUCUACACAGUACUCUGUAAUGACCUAUAUGAGAAAAGAAUCUUAAAAAGAGUGGAUUAAAAAAAAAAAAGAGUGGAUAGGUGUAUGUGUAUAACUGAUUCACUUUGCUGUACCACAGAAACUAACAGCAUUGUAAAAAUCAACUAUACUCCAAUAAAAAUAAUAAUGAAAAAAGAACCAAGAGCUUUGCGUCUAGUGGCAUGUUUGUUAUCCUUAAGGCUGCUCAGACUCCAGCAUGCUCUGCGGACCACUGUCCCUCCAGAUUUGUGUCAUGCCUAAUUGAGCUGGGAGAUGGUGCACCUGUUAGCUCUAGGCCUCCACAGACUCAGCCUGGCAGGGGGCCUCAGAGCAGCGCACGUGGUUCUAAGUGCCCAGCUGGAGUCAGGAGGAGGGUGCCUCUGUCCCACGAAGGUUCAUAGCCUCAGAAAUGGCUUCUCCUUUUUUGAAUCAAUGAGAUACACAUUCUCUGUCUGCAUUUUAUGAACCUUCAGAGGGGAGAGCUCCAGGGAAUUCUGAGCUCUCCACUUCCCUUCCCUUCCCACCUCCAAGGCUGUCUUGUAGUAGAAAUUUUAGUCUCACAGACCUUUAACUUCUGACUCGCCUGUGUGAUGUUAGACAAACGACUAAGUUUUUUGAGCUCGUUAUAUUUUUUAAAUCUGUAAAAUAGCCCAGUAACGAUGAGGUUACUGUUCAUUCUCCUCCUCUUUUGUGACUUCUCUCAGUUGCUGAGAUUUUGGAAGAACAUCUUUUUCUGAUCAUAAAUGUGCUCAGCUAUCAAGGAGGUAAAAACUCUACCGUUCAGGACACUUAGGGAUCCUGGAGGAAACAUGGGGGUGGGUGGAGUUGGCCUGCCCCUCCCCGCCUCCCAACCCUGUAUUUAUUUCCUCAGGAUAGGAUUUCAAGUCAACCGGAGCCACUCCUCGGGAUAGCACAGAGCUCAACAGGAUCCAGAGUGCUUGGAAAUCAUCUCAGAGUCGAGGGAUCAACUAUCCUUACUUGUAUUGAGUUUAAAAGAAGAAACAAUGGCCUAAAGCAUAUAAAAAUUAAGACUCAGGGAAGAGCAACACAGAUUCCACAAUAAAAAACAAAAGUGAAAGAAAAGAAAGAAUUUGUAAAGUUUCUUUUGGUGUGUAAGAGGAUGGAUCCUAGCGUGAACAGCAUGUAAGCACAUGGACAAAGCGCACCUAAAAUAAAGCCGUGCACACGCACCAGACUACAUAUAGUGGAUAUGUGUGCACCUAGGCAUGUGCCAAGUCACCCAUUUUGUCACGUAACAUACCUGCUUUGUACAACAACCUGUGCUGGACCACUGGACCACCUUCCCACAGAUCCUCAUCUCACCCCACCUGGGCUCUGAAAUAUCCUCUUCAGCCUGCCUGGAUGCCAACAUCUUGCACUAGGCUAUCCCUUUGCAGAACAUGCCCCUCGCCCCACGUGAGCUCUGAAACCUCCUGCUGAGCUAUCCCUCCCACCCUAAAUCCUCAGCCCACCUGGGCCAUCCCAUGUGGGGCCACCCUCUCAGCCUACUGUGGCUCUGACGCGGAGCUAAGCCGAGCCUCUGUAGGAGUGGCCCUCUCCUCCUGCGUGCUUUUCUGGUGCUCUCAUUCUAUAAAGAUUUAUAUUAUCUGUGAGUAAUCACAGUGUUUCAAAAAAAAGAAAAUAAUCACAGUGUUUCCUCAAACUAGAGGUCUGUGUAUGUAUUAUUGAUGAUCCAUCAGUAAUAACUUAUUUUUAUUUCAAUGAUGAUCUAAAAAACUUACAUUAUAAAAUAUAAGCAUAUCUGGGAUGUUCAUUUUACAACCACAUUUAGUGUUGGUGCUUUGUGUUUAAAAUUGUGUUGGUACCACAUGAUUAUUAAUGUGGCAAUAUUUAACUUUUAAAGUGUCGGUAGUCUUUAAAUUGGCAUUUCUGGCAUCAAAAUGCAAAACCAUCUUGAUUUCUGUUUGAUAAAAAUUAUAUUGAGUUAUCCUACCAAUUAAAAAGCUGAAACUGC